GAUGAACGCUGACAGAAUGCUUAACACAUGCAAGUCAACUUGAAUUUGGGUUUUUACCUUAGGUUUGGGUGGCGGACGGGUGAGUAACGCGUAAAGAACUUGCCUCACAGCUAGGGACAACAUUUGGAAACGAAUGCUAAUACCUAAUAUUAUGAUAAUAGGGCAUCCUAUAAUUAUGAAAGCUAUAAGCGCUGUGAGAGAGCUUUGCGUCCCAUUAGCUAGUUGGAGAGGUAACGGCUCACCAAGGCGAUGAUGGGUAGCCGGCCUGAGAGGGUGAUCGGCCACAAGGGGACUGAGACACGGCCCUUACUCCUACGGGAGGCAGCAGUGGGGAAUAUUGGACAAUGGACCGAGAGUCUGAUCCAGCAACUCUGUGUGCACGAUGAAGUUUUUCGGAAUGUAAAGUGCCUUCAGUUGGGAAGAAACAAAUGACGGUACCAACAGAAGAAGUGACGGCUAAAUACGUG
rnacentral:rRNA from 1 species